rnacentral:rRNA from 1 species
GACGAACGCUGGCGGCGUGCUUAACACAUGCAAGUCGAACGAAGAGCGAUGGAAGCUUGCUUCUAUCAAUCUUAGUGGCGAACGGGUGAGUAACGCGUAAUCAACCUGCCCUUCAGAGGGGGACAACAGUUGGAAACGACUGCUAAUACCGCAUACGAUCUGACCUCGGCAUCGAGGAUAGAUGAAAGGUGGCCUCUACAUGUAAGCUAUCACUGAAGGAGGGGAUUGCGUCUGAUUAGCUAGUUGGAGGGGUAACGGCCCACCAAGGCGAUGAUCAGUAGCCGGUCUGAGAGGAUGAACGGCCACAUUGGGACUGAGACACGGCCCAGACUCCUACGGGAGGCAGCAGUGGGGAAUCUUCCGCAAUGGACGAAAGUCUGACGGAGCAACGCCGCGUGAGUGAUGACGGCCUUCGGGUUGUAAAGCUCUGUUAAUCGGGACGAAAGGCCUUUUUGCGAAUAGGGAGAAGGAUUGACGGUACCGGAAUAGAAAGCCACGGCUAACUACGUG